GAGAAUGGUUUGCAGGGAGAGAAGUAUUGGCUGAGGCCAUGGACAGCUAAGCUUGAAAUAUUAGGACUCAGACAUUUUCCCACUGUGGGUAAAUUCGGGAAAUUUUUAUUGCUGCCACAGUCCGUCGGGUUCCUUCCAGCACUUGCACCCCACUGACUCCAGGUUUUCGGGACAGAAGAUCUGUGAUUUUUGCUAUUUUACCCUUCACGUCCAAUCUUACAGAUGUAAAUAGGGAGAAGAUGUUGGGAAGGCUGGACAGAGUCCUCUGCAGAAGCAGGCAGUUGUACCCAAGAGGUGGGCAGAGCGGCAAGAACGAAUCUACACAUCAGUCACUAAGUGGCCCUGUGUUUAGUCCCAGAUGCAGAAUAGUGAAUGGGAAGCUAUUACU